rnacentral:rRNA from 1 species
UACGGAGGGUGCGAGCGUUGUCCGGAAUCACUGGGCGUAAAGGGCGCGUAGGCGGCCAUUCAAGUCGGGGGUGAAAGCCCAGGGCUCAACCCUGGAAUUGCCUUCGAUACUGUUUGGCUAGAGACCGGAAGAGGUAAGUGGAACUGCGAGUGUAGAGGUGAAAUUCGUAGAUAUUCGCAAGAACACCAGUGGCGAAGGCGGCUUACUGGUCCGGUUCUGACGCUGAGGCGCGAAAGCGUGGGGAGCAAACAGG